GAGUUUGAUCCUGGCUCAGGACGAACGCUGGCGGCGUGCCUAAUACAUGCAAGUCGAACGAACGGAUAAAGAGCUUGCUCUUUUGAAGUUAGUGGCGGACGGGUGAGUAACACGUGGGUAACCUGCCUCACAGCUGGGGAUAACAUCGAGAAAUCGAUGCUAAUACCGAAUGUGCUGAACAUCAUAAGAUGUUCAAGUGAAAGACGGUUUCGGCUGUCACUGUGAGAUGGACCCGCGCUGGAUUAGCUAGUUGGUAAGGUAAUGGCUUACCAAGGCGACGAUCCAUAGCCGACCUGAGAGGGUGAUCGGCCACAUUGGGACUGAGACACGGCCCAAACUCCUACGGGAGGCAGCAGUAGGGAAUCUUCGGCAAUGGACGAAAGUCUGACGGAGCAAUGCCGCGUGAGUGAAGAAGGUUUUCGGAUCGUAAAACUCUGUUGUUAGAGAAGAACAAGGAUGAGAGUAACUGCUCAUCCCCUGACGGUAUCUAACCAGAAAGCC
rnacentral:rRNA from 1 species